UACAGAGGUCCCGAGCGUUGUUCGGAUUCACUGGGCGUAAAGGGUGCGUAGGUGGCGAGGUAAGUCGGAUGUGAAAGCUCGGAGCUCAACUCCGAAAUGGCAUUGGAAACUACCUUGCUCGAGGGUUGGAGGGGGGACUGGAAUACCUGGUGUAGCAGUGAAAUGCGUAGAUAUCAAGUGGAACACCAGUGGCGAAGGCGAGUCCCUGGACAACUCCUGACACUGAGGCACGAAAGCUAGGGGAGCAAACAGG
rnacentral:rRNA from 1 species